CCAACGAUAGCUCAGCUGGUAGAGCGGAGGACUGUAGGGGCAUGACUCCACACAGAGAUCCUUAGGUCGCUGGUUCGAAUCCGGCU
rnacentral:tRNA from 1 species